UAGCUCAGUGGUAGAGUGCGUGCUUAGCAUACAUGAAGUCGUGGGUUCAGUCCCCAC
rnacentral:tRNA from 1 species